AGAGUUAGAGACACAUAUACUCCAACUAAUAAUCUGUGCACUCCAAAAUGGCGAAGUCAGAAUUUGGACAAGAGAAUCAGCCCCCUGCAGGGUAUCCCACCACUGCUGAUCCACCUGCAGCUCAGAAGGAGCGCUUCCCUCGUUCAAAGAAGAAAGGAGAUAGGGGCUUCAUUGAAGGCUGCUUGUUCGCCCUUUGUUGCUGUUGGCUCUGCGAAGCUUGCUUCUAAACAAUGCUUUUGAGGAACCGCUCCCAUGUUUGGUAGAAUACGAGGGAUAAUACUUAUUUGGUUGUGAUUGUUGCUCAUAUUUUGUAAUAAGUAGACGAGUCGUGAUGUUACUAGAUAAUCUUC